rnacentral:rRNA from 1 species
UACGUAGGGCGCAAGCGUUGUCCGGAAUUAUUGGGCGUAAAGAGCUCGUAGGCGGUUUGUCGCGUCUGCUGUGAAAACCUCAGGCUCAACCUGGGGCUUGCAGUGGGUACGGGCAGACUAGAGUGCGGUAGGGGUGACUGGAAUUCCUGGUGUAGCGGUGGAAUGCGCAGAUAUCAGGAGGAACACCGAUGGCGAAGGCAGGUCACUGGGCCGCAACUGACGCUGAGGAGCGAAAGCAUGGGGAGCGAACAGGAUUAGAUACCCCAGUAGUCC